rnacentral:rRNA from 1 species
GAUGAACGCUAGCGAUAGGCUUAACACAUGCAAGUCGAGGGGCAGCACAAGGUAGCUUGCUAUCUGGGUGGCGACCGGCGCACGGGUGCGUAACGCGUAUGCAACUUGCCCUAUACAGGAGGAUAACCCGUCGAAAGACGGACUAAUACUGCGUAUGCUCACAACUUGGCAUCAAGUGGUGAGGAAAGAAAUUCGGUAUAGGAUAGGCAUGCGUCCCAUUAGCUUGUUGGUGAGGUAACGGCUCACCAAGGCAGCGAUGGGUAGGGGAACUGAGAGGUCUAUCCCCCACACUGGUACUGAGACACGGACCAGACUCCUACGGGAGGCAGCAGUGAGGAAUAUUGGUCAAUGGGCGCGAGCCUGAACCAGCCAAGUCGCGUGAAGGAUGACUGUCUUAUGGAUUGUAAACUUCUUUUAUACGGGAAUAACAAGAGUCACGUGUGACUCCCUGCAUGUACCGUAUGAAUAAGCAUCGGCUAACUCCGUG